GAUGAACGCUGACAGAAUGCUUAACACAUGCAAGUCAUUGGCGAAGCUGCGCUUGCGCAGUCUAGCCAAGGCGGACGGGUGAGUAACGCGUAAGGAACUUGCCCUGCAGACAGGGAUAACAGACGGAAACGACUGAUAACACCUGGUAUUGUCAGGCUGGCGCAUGCCGGCCUGAUGAAAGGAGAGGCUGCAGGAGAGCCUUGCGUCCUAUUAGCUAGUUGGUGGGGUAAGGGCCCACCAAGGCGAUGAUAGGUAGCCGGCCGGAGAGGGUGAACGGCCACAAGGGGACUGAGAUACGGCCCUUACUCCUACGGGAGGCAGCAGUGGGGAAUAUUGGACAAUGGGGGCAACCCUGAUCCAGCAAUUCUGUGUGCACGAAGAAGGUUUUCGGAUUGUAAAGUGCUUUCAGCAGAGAAGAAGAAAGUGACGGUACCUGCAGAAGAAGCGACGGCUAAAUACGUG
rnacentral:rRNA from 1 species